CUACACUUUUAAUACAUGGAAAACUAUAUCUUUGGGAAACAUCUUUAGGCUUCAAUUUAGAAUAGAGGAAAUAACAGUUGAAAAGAUCUACCUGUUUGAUGCCCAGAUCAGUGUUUGUUUUGAGACCAAUGGUGACUGUAGAUACAAGUUUAACAUAUUUGAUAGUGUACGGAUACCAAAACAAUCUUGUUCCUGGUCAGACAAUUUUGUUAUCCCAGGUUUCCAGAUAAAUGACUGGAUGACUGAUAAUGGACUUAGUGGCUAUGUGAAGGAUUUGCCAUCAGUCCUUGCA